GGGGCCGUUUUUUGAGAAAUGCUAGGAAAGGGGAUCACUUCAAUUCCUUUAUACAGAAGUGCCGCUGUGAUGGGGCCGUUUAUGAGAUGUCAAAAAUAAGAUUGGUGGGAAACCUUUACAUCAAAUAAAUAAAUUAUGAAUUUCAUUCAAUUUCGAGAAUUUCGAGAAAACAUUAAAAUUUUGUUUGAAAAUAAUUAUAUGAAUUGGUG
rnacentral:lncRNA from 1 species